GGAAAGGAGAUCCAUUGUAAUUUUAGAUAUGUUUGCUGGAAAUGCAAAUACGUAGUCAUGUGGAAAUCCAUUUGCACAGUGAGACGCUGUUACACAGCAGAUUAUUGCCUCCAUAAGAGCUAGAGCAGAUGAACAUUCAUUUGGGCAAAACACACCCAAGUCAAUAUGCUUUGAUUGUAGCAGUCUGUAAAAGGAGAGCUGUGGGGUUUUCACAGCUGUUUUUUUGCAGAAACACAGAUUUUCUCGACUGUCAUGCUGACUCAGAGUUGUAUUGGCAAGGGAAAGUGCCUGCUGCCUUCAGCCUCAUUGCAGACUUCCUUGUGAACCAACCACUGCCAUGUGAAACUGUGUCAUGUCACCACCCCUCCUUCCCACCCAGCUCUUCCUGUGUUGUUUCACCUUGUUUGUUGUUACCCUGUUUUUCUGGGGACCUGACAAAGUCGGAUGGGGCCUGUGGGAUAUGCUGAUGUACAUGGAGCAGCCAGGGGGUGCCAGCUGGACCAAAGGAAGCACCUUCUGAGCUCCUAGGCUUGCAAAUAACUGUGUUGUCUGGGUGGUUGGAGCUUGCAAAUGGUCUUAUUUACUCUCUGAUUUAAAAAAAAAAAAAAAAAAAGCAACAUUACUCAUCCUGAGAAGUUGUGGGUACAGGAGCAAGAACAAUGCCGCAAGGUCUGCCUAAGCCUUCAAAAAACCUGAAAUAAGCUGUUUAAAUUACUCCCAGAAUUAGGAGGCUGCCUGCUGGGGCUUCUGACUGUAGAGAGCUAAAAUGAUCGUUUUCUUGUUCCGGAGCUUCCAUAGUCUUAUGCUGCAUAUGUGUGCUGAAAUCUGACUUUCCUGAGCACCUCCAUGUGUGAUCCCUACCACAGAGCUGGGUUCAGUGGGUCGGAGACAGCGGCGGGCUUGGAUGUAUUCCAGGGUACUUCUGAAUUUGUAAAGUCCAACAAUCAACAGCUCAGGAGAGGAAAAGAAAUGCUUAGUACACUGCCAGAGAGGCUGCUCAAGAUUUACCAUCAAUCUCUUGAACAGUUCACAACCUCCUGUGGGUCAUUUCCAUUCCUUUAAUUUAUUGCAAAGUGGCUGGCAUUAACGAACCCUUUGUGCAUCCUCGGA